AGCAAAAAAAAAUGUAACGAUACCCGAUGUAAUUUAUGAAGAUGUUAGUCAAUCAAUGUAUUUCCGAAGAUUUUUGAUUUAAUAUUACAUCGAAACUCUGUACAAGACAUGAACAGGUCACGUAGUGUAAUAUCACAACCUUAUAUGCAAUAUUACAUCAAGUAGCCAAGUUCGUCUAAUUUGACGUUUAAGCAAAUUUCAAUAUCGAAAAGUUUGAAGAAGAUUGCAGAGCUCAGAGGGAUUUUUCCUGCCGGAAAUUGAGGUCUAAUGCAUCAGCCAAAGUAAAAGAUCCGGAGCCUUUAAACAACUGGAUGUGAAGAAUUGAAGUGUUUCGGUAUGAAACCACGGAGUGGCAUGGUCACCCAAGGGACAUCCAUUUAUAAACACGAAGUUUCAUCGACUAGAAUUCUGUUACGCGUAGAAAUAUUGACGAGGGAUACCGCGUUAACGUUCCAUCGAGAUGCUGGUAUCCGGGAAUUCAGUUCCUGAAGCUUUAAAUCUGUAAAUUGAGCAGUUUCUGCACCGCGAGAUUGUCUGGAUUUGGUUGUUGUGAAUGCAUUCCUUCUUAAAAUUUUAGUCGGUUUGCUUAAAAAGGAGUUCGGAUCCGUAUUCGGAUAACCAGAAAAGGGAAGACUUUUUCCCCGCUUAGGACAAUCUUGAUCAGAAAAUGUUAAUAAUUAAUAAUAUAGUGAAAUAUAAUAAAUUUAAUUU